CCCUGACAACCGCAUAGGGCGGUUGACAUUAGCCAAGACAGGAGAUAACCAAUG
rnacentral:sRNA from 12 species